rnacentral:tRNA from 1 species
AGCUCUGUGGUGUAAUUGGCAACAUCCCGCCCUUUGAAGGCGAAGAUUUCAGGUACUCUUCGAGAAGCCGCUUCGCGUCUACGACCCCUGGCAGGGCUGCCA